GAGCACUGUUAAAAUAAUUUUGAGGCACUGACACAGUCCAGGGGCAAUCCAACUCCUCAGGAGCAGCCAAGGCUGAUGACUGACGUGAUCAAAAACUGUCACCAUGUAUAUUUAAUUUCUAGUCAAAUUAUCUCAUUAAGAUAUACUAAUAUAAGACAUAAUCAUAUGACAAGGGAUAUGUUUUUCAUCUCAGGUCCAUCUCUAUCCUCUGCUCCCACUGACCUCUCUGCAACCUCAGCUGUACCUGGUCCAUCUCUAUCCACUGUGCCCACUGUCCCUUUUGUGUCUUCUGCAACCUCAGCUGUACCUGGUCCUUCAUCUUUGGUCAUCGAGAUUGAUUUGUCCUCAUCAGCGUCCAGUUUGGAGCAGGGAUCAGCAGCUCAGCCAGUUGACCCAGCUGAGUGUCUCUCUUUCCUGUCAGACUCAGAAAGGACUGAACAGCCCAGUUUGUCCUCACCUGGUGAAGUUGUGCAGAUCAGCUGAGUCGUGUGUGAGUCUUCUUGACUUCCAACUGGAGCUGCUUGUCUGAUGAAUUCUGAUUCUGGGAGGAAAUGUAUCAACUGUAAGAUCUCUCUUCCACCGACUCCUCCCAUGGCACACUGUGACGAAUUAUUUAUUCAUGUCACUGCCCUCAGGACUGAUACCUGUAGUCAGGUGAUAACAUUGUUCUUUAAAGAAAUAAAGAGAUAACUAACUUAGUGUGCUGCCUUCUCUCACUUCUGCCAGACUUUUACUGAACCCCAGUAUGUGUUUUAACAUUGUCAAAAUAAUAAAACAGUCUCAAUUAAAAAUGUGUUUUAUAAUCCUUUACAUAGAAAUGAUAAGAUUAUACAUUAUUUCACAAGCAUUUCUUUUAACCUUAAUUACACAAAUGUUUCCUGAACAUUGAAUAUCAAACAACAGGACAACCAAACAACAUAUAACAUACUUUAUCACCUAAGCAGAGUUAUUUCACAGGGAACAAACAUCACAAUAAACAGACUGAGAAGACUGCCACAUGUUAAUGCCCACACUGGGUAAAGUUUUGUCUUGCAGAAAAUGUUCUCACUUCCUCUUUCACCUCCCUGAUUCCUGUAGAAUGAAAAUGAAAAUGAGGUGUUAAAGCUGACUACAGUUGAUCAGUUUUCAUUUGGAGGUCUAUUGGUGAGUGUUUCCACAGAACUGCCCCUCCAAAACCCCACAUACUGAAAGUCUGUGUAGAUUUGUAUUUGUUUAGUCGUCUCAAGUCGAACUGACUCCAAACACCUGUAAAGCUCUCAGAAAUUCAGACUGAUUUAACUGAAUCAUGAGCUUCAAACAUUUUUGAAAAUAUUCACGCUAAAAAAAAAUGGAGGACCAAAACUGCCAAAAUCUAAAACAGACAAAGAAAAAACCACCUGGCAGCCAGUAUUUUUUACCAUUUGUUGAUGGAAUAUUUGUAAUGUUUUUACUGUCUGGAGAACACAGUAUCUGUGUGAAACAGGCAGGCAUAACAUACAAGAAGGCCUUUGUGGGGUUUUUGAUCUGAUAUGAAUGCUGAACACACCCAGCUGGCACUUCACCAACACCGGCAAGUCUUUUGUGUAAAGGAAUGUAGAAAUACUAAUCCGACAGAAACUCUCUUCUGACUUCAGGCAUGCACGCCUCCAGACACGACAACCAAUGUGAACAUUAUGUUUUAAGGAACGAGGAAAUAAUGAGACAUAAAUAAUUCUCCCUGUGUUUGCAUGAGUUGCAGCUUCCUAACACAGUCCAAACUUGUCUGUCAGGUUAUAUGUAGCAAAAUUAAAAUGAUUAAUCCAUCAAUUAUUCAUUCACAUGUGUACAUAAAACCAUUUUCAGCUGUCAUCACUCCUGUGGUGCAAUGGCACACAGUGUUAGCAAAUAGAAGUUCAUUGUGUUCUCUUAUUCUGAGAAAUGAAGCCUAUUCCAUGCAAGAAAUUGUCAAGAAACUAAAGAUCAUAUAGAAGGCCGUGUAAUGCUGGAAUCCAGCACUGCCGGACAGCUGCAGUUGUGAGAUCGAGGAGUCCCUGCGAUUAUUAAAUACAGUUAAACGUAUGUGUUAUAAACACAACAACCAGAACUGUUACUGACUAAAGGAUUGGAAGAAGUGCUUGGAUUUGUCUCUUUUUUGAGAUUCUUGUGCUGGCGUCAAAACAUGGAGUAAUUUAUCAUGAAAAUUAACAGGAUGUUAUGUUGUUGUUUUGGAGUGUGUUUUCCUGUUUGCUCUGUGCUGAGUUCAGCUGAAUUACUGAGCCGUGCUCCGACAUCCGGCAGAAAUAGAAACCUUGCAAAUCUACUGCCGAAGUGUCAGGCCUAGGCUGGAACGAGGACUCAGAAGCAGAGUGAGAACAGUUUUACCAAGUCUUUAUCCGGAAAAUUCCACAAUAUAGCCUAUUGAGUUGUGACAGAGUCACAACUCAAUAGGCUAUCAAACACUACUAUCUCUAGAACAGGAAAAAGGGAAAAGGGGAGGGGGACAGAAUGAGGACGAACCACAAAAAGGCAACAAAAAACACUCCAAGGGAGGGAAAAUAAUAGGCUGCAAACUGGUCUACUCUAUUAAGGAAUUCCUAUAAAAAAUUAUCAACAGAAAACAAGGGGGGAUGCAAGGGCUACAAAACAUAUACUACACUGAACUCCUAACAAAAUAACAAAGAACAGAAAACACUCCAAGAGGAGGGAAAACCAAACUACAAACAAAAUGACAAGAACAAAAAACACUCAGAGAGGAGGAAAACCAAACAAAACCAAAACCUAGCUACGACUGAGCUGAAAAAUACUACAAACAAAAAAUCACUCUUCUUGAGAAGAAAACAAAGGAAUCUAGAAUACAAACGAAUACUUGGCAUGGAUCAAUGGCUGUGGUCAGGGCUGGAAGUAUGAUGAUAUCGAUGAGGGUGGGGU
ensembl:lncRNA